rnacentral:rRNA from 1 species
UGGGGAAUUUUGGACAAUGGGCGAAAGCCUGAUCCAGCAAUGCCGCGUGUGUGAAGAAGGCCUUCGGGUUGUAAAGCACUUUUGUCCGGAAAGAAAUCCUUGGCUCUAAUACAGUCGGGGGAUGACGGUACCGGAAGAAUAAGCACCGGCUAACUACGUGCCAGCAGCCGCGGUAAUACGUAGGGUGCAAGCGUUAAUCGGAAUUACUGGGCGUAAAGCGUGCGCAGGCGGUUUGCUAAGACCGAUGUGAAAUCCCCGGGCUCAACCUGGGAACUGCAUUGGUGACUGGCAGGCUAGAGUAUGGCAGAGGGGGGUAGAAUUCCACGUGUAGCAGUGAAAUGCGUAGAGAUGUGGAGGAAUACCGAUGGCGAAGGCAGCCCCCUGGGCCAAUACUGACGCUCAUGCACGAAAGCGUGGGGAGCAAACAGGAUUAGAUACCCUGGUAGUCCACGCCCUAAAACGAUGUCAACUAGUUGUUGGGGGAUUCAUUUCCUUAGUAACGUAGCUAACGCGUGAAGUUGACCGCCUGGGGAGUACGGUCGCAAGAUUAAAACUCAAAUGAAUGACGGGGUC